GCCGAAGUGGCGGAACUGGCAGACGCGCACGACUCAAAAUCGUGUGGGCAACCCCCGUGUGGGUUCGACUCCCACCUUCGGCACCA
rnacentral:tRNA from 1 species